AUUGAACGCUGGCGGCAUGCUUUACACAUGCAAGUCGAACGGCAGCGCGGGCUUCGGCCUGGCGGCGAGUGGCGAACGGGUGAGUAAUGCAUCGGAACGUGCCCAGUAGUGGGGGAUAGCCCGGCGAAAGCCGGAUUAAUACCGCAUACGACCUGAGGGUGAAAGCGGGGGACCGAAAGGCCUCGCGCUAUUGGAGCGGCCGAUGUCGGAUUAGCUAGUUGGUGGGGUAAAGGCUUACCAAGGCGACGAUCCGUAGCUGGUCUGAGAGGACGACCAGCCACACUGGGACUGAGACACGGCCCAGACUCCUACGGGAGGCAGCAGUGGGGAAUUUUGGACAAUGGGGGCAACCCUGAUCCAGCCAUGCCGCGUGCGGGAAGAAGGCCUUCGGGUUGUAAACCGCUUUUGUUCGGGAAGAAAUCCUCUGGGAUAAUACCCCGGGGGGAUGACGGUACCGGAAGAAUAAGCACCGGCUAACUACGUG
rnacentral:rRNA from 1 species